UGGGGAAUAUUGCACAAUGGGCGCAAGCCUGAUGCAGCCAUGCCGCGUGUAUGAAGAAGGCCUUCGGGUUGUAAAGUACUUUCAGCGAGGAGGAAGGCGUUGUGGUUAAUAACCGCAACGAUUGACGUUACUCGCAGAAGAAGCACCGGCUAACUCCGUGCCAGCAGCCGCGGUAAUACGGAGGGUGCAAGCGUUAAUCGGAAUUACUGGGCGUAAAGCGCGCGCAGGCGGUCUGUCAAGUCGGAUGUGAAAUCCCCGGGCUCAACCUGGGAACUGCAUGCGAAACUGGCAGGCUAGAGUCUUGUAGAGGGGGGUAGAAUUCCAGGUGUAGCGGUGAAAUGCGUAGAGAUCUGGAGGAAUACCGGUGGCGAAGGCGGGCCCCUGGACAAAGACUGACGCUCAGGUGCGAAAGCGUGGGGAGCAAACA
rnacentral:rRNA from 1 species